GUGUAGCUCACUUCCUGUGCCUGUGCCUCUGCUGCUGCUUAUGUCUGACUCUCUCUCUCUGUUAAGACUGUUGUCCUCACAGAUAUGGAUUUUUUGAUGGCAGAGCCAACUUAUAAACUUCUUAUUUUUUUAUGCAUGAUACAAGGAACGUACGGAGUGCUUAUACAUUAUAAUGUGACCGCAACUGCUGUGGAGGGACAGAACGUCAGCCUGCAGUGCAUUGUGGGAGAGGGGCAUGACGUCACAAUUAUCCAGCUGGAAUGGAUUAAACAGCAAAAAGAAAAUGAGAAGAUCGAUCAGAAGAUUGUUGUGUUCCAUCCUGGGUACUCAACAAAUUAUAUUAAGUCCGGUUCUCUUCUGGAGACAGUGACCAGUUCAAAAACUUGGAAGCUGCAGGGCUCAAUCCUGACCCUGUAUAAAGUUACAGUGAAUGACGGUGGAAACUAUAUUUGCGAAAUUACAUCUUAUCCUAAUGGCUCAAUUAAAAGAACCACAAAGCUCCAAGUCACAGAGCCUCCAGCAUCAGUGAAGAUGUCAUAUCCAUAUGGAUUCAUAAAAGAGGGAGAUGACGUGAAAAUAACUUGUUCAGCUAGCCCUCCACCACUCCGUUAUAAACUUGCAAGGUCAAAGGACCAGAUAAUUUGGCUGGAAAGCUCAAAAGGAGAGUUCAUUAUAUCACACAUCACCAGAAACGACAGCGAUGUGUACAUCUGUUUACCUGAAUGGGACUCAUUAGUACGAAAUCAGCAAGGUCUCAAUGCCACUAUGGAACUGACUGUGAAUUUUCUUGAUGGCAUUGAGUGUAACACAAGCAGCCCUUUAAACGUCAGUGUUGGUGAGGAUGUGAUGAUUUCUUGUAUCGCAAAAGCAUCACAGUACUUGCAGUUGCAGUAUAAGUGGAUGAGGGGUGGCACAACACUGUCUCUGUCAGAGACUUUGUCUCUGACCUCCGUAACAUCUGACCAGUCAGGAACAUACCAACUGACAGCUGUCUUUUUGAAGACUCAACUCCAGACAGACAUGGAGUUUUCUAUCCAUGUUCUCUCAAAGCAAAGCCAAGGAAUGACAACUCCUUGCCCAGUAAGUACCACCAAACAUCUGAGCAGCUUUACCUCUAAUGGGACCAGCUCAUGGAGCAAUGAUACCACUGUGUCUACAACAGAAUCUGAUCACUUCCUGGCUAGCACAAUAAAACCAAAUGCCACUAUGACAACCCUACAACCCAGACACACCAGUCAUCCCACUGGCAGCUCUUCUGCUCCACCUGUUGGCAAUGCAUCUACAUUACAUGCAAGUACUGUAAAAUCUACAGAUACCUCUACAGACAGUUUGAGCACAACUCCAGAUCCAGCUACCAGAAGAGAAAGAGUCACCACUGUUAUAACACAGAAAAACAUCACCACUGUUACAGCAAAAGCCUCAAAAAGCUCGACAUAUAUCGCUGUCCCGAUUGUGUUGUUGUUACUCGUGUUGAUUGUGCUUCUAUACAGAAGACACCAGAACCAAAAAAAAAUGGAUAUGCCACCUCCAUUCAAACCUCCCCCACCACCAGUGAAAUACACAUCAGUGAGGAACCAUGAUGUCUAUAUGACUGAUAUUCUAGUGUGAACGUAUCAUGUACUUGAGAACCUACAAACCGUGGGCCACAAAUAUGCUGACAUGGAAGAUUCUUCCCUAAAGGCCUCACCCAAAAAUGAAAAUUGUUUCAUCAAUUACUCAUCCUCAUGAAGUUUCGUUCAUCUUCAAAACACAAAUGAAGAUAUUUUUAAGAAAACCUAAGAGAUUUCUGUCUUUCCAUUGACAGUCCACGCAACUAGUAUUUUGAUGCUUCAAAAAGUUCAUAAAGACAUUGUAAAUGUAACCCAUAUGAAUCUCCCAGUUUAAUUCAUGUCUUCUGAAGAGGCAGUCACUUUAUAUGAUGAACAGAUUUAAUUUAAGCUUUUAUAUAAACAUUGUUCAGUACAUAGAGUACAUCAAAUAUAUAAUAUGUUUUUUGAAAGUCUUAUGGAUUUGAAUUUUUAUUUUUGGGUGAAUUAACUAAAGUAUUUUUUACUUAUUUUCUUUGUAUUUCUGAAUUGACUGUACAUAAAAUCUGUUACUCUUAUAAAUAAUUAGUUCGUUCUUUUUUAGAUGAAAAAAAAAUGUGACUGAAUUUUGCUUGUGCUUUACUGACAUUAAAUAUAUUAUCGAAUAUCUUGAGUUUUACUUAGCACACAUACUACUCCUACAUCAUAACUAUGUAAAAUUUUCCCUGAAAUGUGUGAAUUAAAAAAAUAAAAAAAAGUGUGUGAGGGUGGGGUCAAAAACCGAGUAAAUUCCAGAAAUAUGAAAUAUGACUAGGCCUUAGGUAACUUUAGAGUUUAAUAAUGUAUGUGUGUGUGUGUGUGUGUGUGUGUGUGUGCGUGCGUGUGUGUGUGUGUGUGUGUUCAAUAAAUGAGGCUGUCAGUUGCAAUGAUGGCUUUUAAUACUGUUACAAUACAACUGCAAAGAAAAUAAGUGAGCACUAUUCAUAAUCAGAUAGCUUUGAAAUAAAGUCUACAUGCCAACACUGACCUCCUGUUGUGGCUGCAUGUUCUGUUAACAAAGCAAAGGCUAUCAGCUGAUUGUUUCAGGCCCCAUAAAACCUCAGUUUACACCUCAGAUAGUCGAGACAAACCAACUGCCAAAACCACAUCAGACAGUGACCAACAGAGACAGUAUGUAUCCUAAACCUUACAGGUCUAAUCUACAAAUACAAAUUCCAGCUCUGGUCACCAUAUAUUAUAACUUGCAGUAACAGCACAGCUGGUGGUUGUUUAUAUUGUGCUUAGAACAAAGCAGAAUUUAGUUCUGUUCAUGCUGCUUAUACAACAUCCGGCAUUUUAAAAUGAAGUUUACCCCUGAAAACAAGCCUUCAUUCAAUGUGGGAGAAGAUGGAAAUG
rnacentral:lncRNA from 1 species